CCUGCUCUGCAGGCAUGGGUGAGGUCAGCGUCCUUCAGUCCUGCUUCAGCUUCAAGGAACCAAGACUUUAAACAGAGUAGACAGGUUGUCUUCUCUAAGCAAGGAACUGGAGUUUCCCCAAGGCCGAGAGAUCACAGGCAUCUGUGAGAGGAGUCAUGUGCUGUGGGAAGGGACACCAGCACCUCAGCAGGGGCCCUGGUCACAUCUGCUCCCCGCACUGUUCAAAUAGGUCUCUGUGUGGAACAGUGCUGAGGACACUGGGACUGCGUGUAGAACAACCCUGUGUCAGUGGCCAACACAGCCAUGUGCGCUCGCCAGCCCAAGACCACGAGCCCCUUCCCACGGGCCUCUUCUGCUCCGGCAUUCUCAAGAGCACCGGUAAUACAGAACUCACUUCAUUUAAAGGAGAAGCAUACGCCACUGUCCGUGUAAAGCAGAAGUGCUCACAUCAGUGGGGUUUCAAACUGGGGGGGAGGGGGACGGGGGUACUUGUGAGCUUCCUGCUCUAGCAACAGCUCUUAGCAAUGAGGACCCUUGCAUCCCACAACAACAGCAUGACUUAUCCAAGCUCACACAGUCUGAGGCUUAAAUCUGGGUACACUCAGUUAUAAGCAAGAAUUCCUU